rfam:Schistosoma mansoni, Puerto Rico, WGS project CABG01000000 data, contig: 0034
UGAGGAGUCCAAUAAUAGGACGAAACGGCCGUC